UGAACCUUUUGUACUUUUCUGUUGGAGUGAAGCCUAUGCCUUAAAGCUCUUCCUCAUGGCCAGAACUCUUAGGAAUUUUCCCUGUCAGUGGAGAUGAUAGACACUUAGAGUCAGAAGGAGAACGAAAUUCUGCUGACAAUAGGACCCUAUCUCUCCUUCUGGGGCCAGGUGUCACACUGCCCUGCCCUGUCCAAGCCUUCCUCGACUGAGUCCUGAGUCCUUCAUGUCCUGCACAUGUUUGGUGCAGGGAAGAGACUGCUCCAUCAAGGAAGGGCAAUGUUAGGAGAUUCGUGGGACCUCGGAUUAGUUCUCAAACCUUGUCAUUCCCAGCUCUGAAGAUCCCACUUUGACAGUGGUAACUGCUACACGAGGAUGGAGGAUUGCCUUGCAUUUGGGGAAGUGAACACUCUCAAGUUUGUAUUCCCCACUGUCUGAACUGCCAAUGAGUUAUUUGAUGAAUUAAUAAAGAUAUAA